UUCUCUUUGAAGAUACAAGGAAGUUUGAGCAUCUGUAUAAUUGUCGGCAAGGAAACGAGACGCUGCACAGCCCCCUAACAUUGUACGGCAAAGGAAAAUCUUGCGCAUGAGAGCAUGCAUACCUCUCACGUCAAUCAUGAUGAGUUCGUCAAAUAGUCACAAACUGUUACAUACUUUCCCGCGGAUUGAAGUAACGCUAUAUAGUGACACAAGUUUGAAGUUUUAGUGACAAGGAAUUGUCAGGAUGAAACAUGUCUGUCGAGGAGAAUGUUCCCCCCUUUUAGGAGGAUGACAGAGUAAAGUUUAUAAAAACAAACGUUUUGUCGGAUUUUGGAAGUGAGGCAGGAAACCUGGGAGAAGAAGUGUGUUACAGUCGAGGAAAGCCAGACCGCUCUGAAAGGUGUCUUCGAAAAGCAAAGUAUUGUUUUUUACUCUACCAUCGACUGGUGCUCCCCGAGGCAAGGCUGGUGACCAACGGGCAGGCUUUCUACUGGCUGUCUCAGCUGAGGCAUCGCUGGGACGAGCAGCAGAGACACUGCCUGGCUAACAUCUGUGAUGUUCAGUUCUUCUACUCCUACCAAUACCUGGUAGGAACACCUCUCGGCUGGUCAUCACCCCCUCAUUGACCGUUGUUUUCUACGGCUGCUGUACUGUAGGCUGCUCUGGUGCACACGGCUGAGACGGCGCAUCUGAGGUACUUUAUGGAUCUGUUGCUGGAGAGGGGCCAACCCCUGAUGCUGGUGGGGAAUGCAGGCGUGGAGAAUACUUCUCUGGUCAGGAAUCAGGUAGACCACCUGACAAAUAUCGACAUGACCACUGAAGUACCCCUCAACUACUACUGCACCUCCCUCAUGCUGCAGAGUACGACAGGCAGAAGAUAACCCUAAAUCCACCACUGUCAGUAUGUUGCCUGUAUGAAACCUACUUCUGGGAGCUUCACCAUCAACCCUGGACUCCAGG